rnacentral:siRNA from 1 species
UCUUUGUUCAGGAAGUUUCCAU